rnacentral:rRNA from 2 species
CAUCCUCCAAGGCUAAAUACUCCUGACUGACCGAUAGUGAACCAGUACCGUGAGGGAAAGGCGAAAAGAACCCCGGCGAGGGGAGUGAAAAAGAACCUGAAACCGUGUACGUACAAGCAGUGGGAGCCCCACCACUAAGCCAGUGGUGAACUCCACAUCCGCAUCCUUUGCUGAGGAUACGGUUAACGGAGCGAAAGCGACGUUCAACCGCAAAACAAGCAGAGGGGGCUUAGUGGUGGGGUGACUGCGUACCUUUUGUAUAAUGGGUCAGCGACUUAUAUUCUGUAGCAAGGUUAACCGUAUAGGGGAGCCGGAGGGAAACCGAGUCUUAAUUGGGCGUUAAGUUGCAGGGUAUAGACCCGAAACC